rnacentral:rRNA from 1 species
UACGUAGGCAGCGAGCGUUGUUCGGAAUUACUGGGCUUAAAGCGCGUGUAGGCGGGACGGCACGUCGGUCGCUGAAAUCCCCCGGCUUAACCGGGGAACUGGCGUCGAUACGACCGUCCUGGAGGGGCGUAGGGGGACCUGGAACUUCCGGUGGAGCGGUGAAAUGCGUUGAGAUCGGAAGGAACGCCCGUGGCGAAAGCGAGGUCCUGGACGCCUACUGACGCUGAGACGCGAAAGCCAGGGGAGCGAACGGG